rnacentral:sRNA from 1 species
GUUGGGCAUGAUGGUACAUGCCUGUAAUUCCAGUGACUUGGGAGGCUGAGGCAGGAGGAUCUCAAGUUCAAGGCCAGCCAGGGCAACUUAGUGGCAUCCUGUCUCAA